rnacentral:lncRNA from 1 species
GAAAGAUGGCAUACAGGCAGGAAAAAGCUGAGAGCAACUUGGCAAAAUGCAACAUGCAUUCUUCCUGCAGGAAGAAGGGAAAGCGUUAGAACACAAGCCCCCUGCCACCUCCCCCAGCUUCCAGGCCACAGGCUUUGAGCAUGAAAGUGUUAUAAUAAAGUGAUAUUUACAAAAUAUUAUUAUAAAAGAUUAAUCUGUCCUGCUUCCUUUUAGGAGAAAAUACCUCCUAUGGGACAUUCCUGGAUGACUCUGAAGCUCUGAG